rnacentral:rRNA from 1 species
GAUGAACGCUGGCGGCGUGCUUAACACAUGCAAGUCGAACGAAGCAUUUAGAACAGAUUACUUCGGUUUGAAGUUCUUUAUGACUGAGUGGCGGACGGGUGAGUAACGCGUGGGUAACCUGCCUUGUACUGGGGGAUAGCAGCUGGAAACGGCUGGUAAUACCGCAUAAGCGCACAAUGUUGCAUGACAUGGUGUGAAAAACUCCGGUGGUAUAAGAUGGGCCCGCGUCUGAUUAGCUAGUUGGUGAGAUAACAGCCCACCAAGGCGACGAUCAGUAGCCGACCUGAGAGGGUGACCGGCCACAUUGGGACUGAGACACGGCCCAGACUCCUACGGGAGGCAGCAGUGGGGAAUAUUGCACAAUGGAGGAAACUCUGAUGCAGCGACGCCGCGUGAGUGAAGAAGUAAUUCGUUAUGUAAAGCUCUAUCAGCAGGGAAGAUAGUGACGGUACCUGACUAAGAAGCUCCGGCUAAAUACGUG